CGACAGAAGAUACACGACAGCGUGAUACACACUUAUAUAUCUAUACUUUCAUAUGCAUAUUUUAUAUACUGAACAAAUUCUUGAACUUUGAAGAAGGUUUGGACAUCACUAAAGGAUGAAGAUCCUCCUCAUCUUCACCCUUUACCUGAUCUCAGGUCCAGUGGGCUGCUUUGAUGUGACUGGCUAUCCAGGAGGCAGUGUACUGAUGUACUGUGAAGACAAACAGUAUGGACUGUCUGAUAAAUACUUUUGCAAGGUGAUGCCAAACAAGUGUAUCAAUGUACAAACACAGAACACAUGGGUUCAUGAAGGCCGAUUCUCUUUAUAUGACUCUGGACAUCUCACAGUGAUCUACAGAGAUCUGAGUAUAGGAGAUGCUGGAAAAUAUCAGUGUGGAGAGACUGGAGUGUGGAACAACACUGUGAAACUGAGAGUGGAAACAGGUGAAGAAAAUUAAAUAACAUAAAUUGUAAAACCAAUUGCGUUUCUAUAAAGUUCUUGACAUUCUUCAUUGUGCAUGAUUGACAGAUCCAUGUUGUUUGAGGUCGAAGACUAUUACUGGUCGUCUAGGAGAGACAAUCACCAUCAACUGUUCCUAUCCAGAGGAGUUUGAUGGAGAUAUCAAGUACUUCUACAAGCAGAUCGGUCAACAUUUUCCUAUCAUGAUCAGCACCUUUCAGACUGAGAGAGACAGAUUCUCCAUCUCUGAGGACAGAAGAUCUAGAGUUUUCAGUGUGAGAAUCAGAGACGUGAGAGAAGAUGAUGUAGGAGUUUAUUACUGUGGAGCUGGGAUUCGAGAGCGGUCAUUCAGCUAUUACACCCUCUUCACCAAAAAUCAUCUUAUUACUGAAGCAGCAAAAACAGAAUCAAGAUUACACACAACUCUCCAGCCAAGAAAAGUGACCUAUAAAAGAACAUCAACUGCACCAAUAACGUCCACCUCUGAUGAAGAACAUUCAGCUCCAGGUUUCGCUAUCAUCACCAUCAUUAUCAUCAUCACUGUGAGUAUCUGUGUGGUUCUGCUGCUGACUGGAGGAUUAACACUGAUCUUCUACAAACUGAGAUGCUCCAAGACUCAAGACUCUGCCUUCAUCAGUCAACCCUCAGGAACCAAUGAACAAUGUGAUUAUGAAAAUGAUCCACAAGGAAACCUGAACAUCAUCAGAAUGGAUCUAAACUACCAGAACGUGCAACCCAACACCACCAACUCUGAUUCUGUCUACCAGAGUCUGGAUCCCAGAACCCGAGAACCUGAUUCAAUUUACCAGAGUCUAAACCCCAAAACCAACCAAUCAGGUUGAGUCUAAGAGACUCUGAUCUCCAAAACCAACAAAUCAGAUUCAGUUUACCAGAGUUGAAUCCCAACAUCAACCAAUCAGAUUCAGUCUACCAGAGUCAGAUUCAGCCUAAUCCUUAACAUCAAUGACUAUUACAACAGUUUGAUUUAAUUAGACAACUCUGGAAUGUGAUGAAGUUUAUAGACUGCUUGUGUUUAGAUUAAGAUUAAUUGCUAGCUUUAUGUUAAAUCAUCUAUAUUCAAUUAAAUAUAAAAUAAGAUGCAGUUGUAAUAUUGUAAAGAAAAUGUUAAUGUGCUGAUUCAAAUCAUAACCCGUAUUUUUUUAUUGAUUUGUCUUAAAACUGUUAUUACAAUUUUCUUAUUUUAUAAUUUUUACAUAAAUGUGCAAGUUUUGUUGUUUUUCUGAUGUAGUAUUUGAUAUGCUUGAUCUUCAGAUCUUUAAUAAAUCUUUCAACGGUUUUAAGAGUCUUUGUUUU
ensembl:lncRNA